UCGGAUAGUAGCUUAUUAAAAAGUUUAUUAUUUACAUUAAUAAGAAAAAUUUUGUUUCUUUCCGAU
rnacentral:tRNA from 1 species